rnacentral:rRNA from 1 species
UACGAAGGGGGCUAGCGUUGUUCGGAAUUACUGGGCGUAAAGAGCUCGUAGGCGGCUUGUCGCGUCGGCUGUGAAAACUCGGGGCUCAACCCCGAGCCUGCAGUCGAUACGGGCAGACUAGAGUGCGGUAGGGGAGACUGGAAUUCCUGGUGUAGCGGUGAAAUGCGCAGAUAUCGGGAGGAACACCGGUGGCGAAGGCGGUUCUCUGGGCCUGUACUGACGCUGAGGAGCGAAAGCGUGGGAGCGAACAGG